rnacentral:rRNA from 1 species
AACGAACGCUGGCGGCGUGGAUUAGGCAUGCAAGUCGUGCGCGAAAGGAGGGGCAACCCUCCGAGUAGAGCGGCGAACUGGUGAGUAACAGGUGGGUAACGUGCCCCAAAGUGGGGGAUAACCCAGGGAAACUUGGGCUAUACCGCAUGUGGUCAUGAGGACUAUGGUCCAAAUGACCAAAGGAGUAAUUCGCUUUGGGAUCGG